UACAGAGGGUGCAAGCGUUAAUCGGAAUUACUGGGCGUAAAGCGUGCGUAGAUGGUUAUGUAAGUCAGAUGUGAAAGCCCCGGGCUUAACCUGGGAAUGGCAUUUGAGACUGCAUAGCUAGGGUGCGGAAGAGGGAAGCGGAAUUUCCGGUGUAGCGGUGAAAUGCGUAGAUAUCGGAAGGAACACCAGUGGCGAAAGCGGCUUCCUGGUCCAGCACCGACGUCAGGCACGAAAGCGUGGGGAGCAAACAGG
rnacentral:rRNA from 1 species